rnacentral:lncRNA from 1 species
CGUCUCUCUGCUAUGUUCCUUGAAUUUCACCAAGAACCAAAUUCUUACCAUCACUAGGUCAAGCACCUACAACUGUACAAACCCUUCACUCGAUCUGAACUAUCCAUCAUUCAUAGCAUUCUACAACAAGAAUGUAACAACAGUUAUAACUCAAGUUUAUCAGAGAGUAGUGACAAAUGUAGGUGGAGCUGCUACGUAUAAAGUGAAGGUAACUGCACCAAAGGGCUCAAACGUCACAGUCUGGCCAGAGACUUUGGUUUUCGGGAAGAAGUAUGAGCAACAGCAAUAUUCAAUCAAGAUUACGUAUCCAAGCAAUCACGAUGGUAAAGUUUCAUAUGGCUCAAUUGUCUGGACGGACGAAAGUGGAUCACAUACUGUAAGGAGCCCUAUUGUUGUGACACCAAGUUCAGGCAACUAAGAUGCUUCUAGCUAAAUGUGUUGUGUAAUCCUUCAGUUUGAUGGAUAACAGCACAAAUAUGGAGAUCUUGUUGCUUGCAGAUUUAACUAGUCGAAUAAAAACCACUCUACUUUUUUGUAUCUGUAAAUGUUCAAACUUUAAACAAGAUGAGUAAAGGACAUAGUCACAUAACUACAAUCAAAAUGAGUAUCAAUAACUCUUGCAAUUAACAUUCAAAGGGCAGAAACUUGGCACAUAUGAGAUUGGAUGGACUCAAAAUUCUUCUGACGAUAAGAUUACCAGUAAAGACAAGAGACAAGAUAAAUUAGUUUUUUUCAGAAAAAUACCAAGAAGAAGAACAAUAACAGAAAAUGCCUAAUUGUGGUGGGCUCUCUCAGCGAUUAACUAUUUGGUGAUUUGUCUUUGCUAGUUGCUUGACCGCAAAGAAAGGGGACAAUAACAUGCUUCCACGCCUCAACCACAUACUCUAUUUCUUUGUUUUGUUGCUCACAUGACCAAAUAUCGUUAAAGCAUUAUAAUAAUAAAGUAAAAUAAAAUAUUUAGAUGAAAAUUUUCAACAUUCAUGCCUGCUGCAACUCUGCCUCUAAUCUCAAUGCUAAGUUCAUGGUGGCCCUUUUUAUGAUUUUUUUCUGACCAAAGUUGAGAAAUAACAGUUGAUGUUUACGGUAACCCAUAGUGCAUAGUUGUUUAGUUAAAUGCUAACAUGCCUGGAGAAAUGCUAUGACUUGUGAUUUAUGAAAUGUCCUUUCUGUCCACAGACAAAUAACAGCAAAAAACAAUACAUAUCUAUGGUCAUAAUUUGGGAUGAAUGACAGAAUAAAACGAAGCUGUUUCCGUCUGUGAUAUCAUCCAGAAAACGAAGAAGACUAAAUAGAAAGGAAGAUGGGAGGGAAAUGGCGUAUUGACAUAAUAAUCAUGAAGAUGAUAACAAAAAUACAAACACAACACGGCCAAUAAUAUGAAUCCAUGAUCUCCUCACUACUACUCCUACGACUGUGACACAGAGAUAGAAUAAUGGAGGGCAGUUCUGUACUUGACGAAAUAUGAAAAUGAUUAAUUCCAGUAUCACAAUUGUAUUGACAAAGUUGGACUUAUCGAGCGGCAAGUCCGGCAUACUUGAAGGGUAAAAGGUUCCACAACAUACCUUCCUGCUGUAGGAUUUUGUCAUUUGGCCAUAUAAGAUUUGCCAACUUUCUUCAACCUCUUCUUGUCAGUCCAUCCAUCCAUCCCUUCGCCAAGGAUGGAGAAAAACAAC